rnacentral:rRNA from 1 species
AUUGAACGCUGGCGGCAGGCUUAACACAUGCAAGUCGAGCGGAGCGAGGGUGCUUGCACCUUAGCUUAGCGGCGGACGGGUGAGUAAUGCUUAGGAAUCUGCCUAUUAGUGGGGGACAACAUUCCGAAAGGAAUGCUAAUACCGCAUACGCCCUACGGGGGAAAGCAGGGGAUCUUCGGACCUUGCGCUAAUAGAAGAGCACAGGUAGGAUUAGCUAGUUGGUGGGGUAAAGGCCUACCAAGGCGACGAUCUGUAGCGGGUCUGAGAGGAUGAUCCGCCACACUGGGACUGAGACACGGCCCAGACUCCUACGGGAGGCAGCAGUGGGGAAUAUUGGACAAUGGGCGGAAGCCUGAUCCAGCCAUGCCGCGUGUGUGAAGAAGGCCUUUUGGUUGUAAAGCACUUUAAGCGAGGAGGAGGCUACUUAGAUUAAUACUCUGGGAUAGUGGACGUUACUCGCAGAAUAAGCACCGGCUAACUCUGUGCCAGCAGCCGCCGUAA